AGGAUAAACGCUGGCGGCGUGCCUAACACAUGCAAGUCGAACGCCCUACGCAAGUAGGGAGUGGCGGACGGGUGAGGAACACGUGGGUUAUCUGCCUUUCGGUGAGGAAUACCAGCGAGAAAUCGCUGACAAUACCGCAUACGGUUCUUUCGAGAGGAAGAACGAAAGUCGCAAGACGCCGGGGGAUGAGCCUGCGCCCGAUUAGUUAGUUGGUGGGGUAAAAGCCUACCAAGACUGCAAUCGGUAGC
rnacentral:rRNA from 1 species